UACAUGUGGGGCAAGCGUUGUUCGGAAUUACUGGGCAUCAAGGGUGCGUAGGUGGUUUGUUAAGUCAGGGGUGAAAUCCCGCGGCCCAACCGUGGAACUGCCUUUGAUACUGGCGAACUUGAGUGCGUGAGGGGUAGGGGGAACGAGCAGUGUAGCGGUGAAAUGCGUAGAUAUUGCUCGGAAGGCCAGAGCCGAAGGGGCCCUACCGGUGCGCAACUGACACUGAGGCACGAAAGCGUGGGGAGCAAACAGG
rnacentral:rRNA from 1 species